rnacentral:rRNA from 1 species
CGUAGGGUGCAAGCGUUAAUCGGAAUUACUGGGCGUAAAGCGUGCGCAGGCGGUGAUGUAAGACAGUUGUGAAAUCCCCGGGCUCAACCUGGGAACUGCAUCUGUGACUGCAUCGCUGGAGUACGGCAGAGGGGGAUGGAACUCCGCGUGUAACAGUGAAAUGCGUGGAUAUGCGGAGGAACACCGAUGACGAAAACAAUCCCCUGAACCUGUACUAACGCUCAUGCACGAAAGCGUAAAGAGCAAACAGGAUUAAAUACCCUGAUAGUCCACACCCUAAACGAUGUCAACUAAUUGUUGGAUCUUCACUAACUCAGUAACGAAACUAACGCGUGAAGUUGACCACCUAAAGAGUACGGCCGCAAGGUUG